GGUUGCGAUCAUACCAGCACUAAUGCACCGGAUCCCAUCAGAACUCCGCAGUUAAGCGUGCUUGGGCGAGAGUAGUACUAGGAUGUGUGACCCCCUGGGAAGUCCUCGUGUUGCAACAC
rnacentral:rRNA from 1 species